GAAAAGAAACCAACAGGGAUUGCCUYAGUAACGGCGAGUGAAGCGGCAAAAGCUCAAAUUUGAAAUCUGACACCUCCGGUGUUCGAGUUGUAAUUUGGAGAGGCAUCUUCUGGAGGGGCCCAGCCUAUGUGCCUUGGAACAGGACGUCAUAGAGGGUGAGAAUCCCGUACUUGGCUGGAUGUUCCCUCCUGUAUGUAGUGUCUUCUACGAGUCGAGUUGUUUGGGAAUGCAGCUCAAAAUGGGUGGUAAAUUUCAUCUAAAGCUAAAUAUUGGCGAGAGACCGAUAGCGCACAAGUAGAGUGAUCGAAAGAUGAAAAGCACUUUGAAAAUAGAGUCAAACAGUACGUGAAAUUGUUGAAGGGGAAGCGCUUAGGACCAAUCCUGGCCAUUGGCGAACAUCUGCCCACCGGGGCGGUGCACUCGUCUUGGGUCGGGCCAGCAUGGGUUGGGACGGUGGGAUAAAGGCUCGGGAAAUGUGACUCCUUUAUGGAGUGUUAUAGUCCCGGGUGGCAUGCCAUCAGUCCCGACCGAGGAUCGCGCACCGGCACGGAUGCUGGUCUAGUGGUCUUCA
rnacentral:rRNA from 1 species